CACAGCUCUGUGCUCCUCGUUGGCCCCCGUUGGCUUCCAGCCCUUUUACUACGCCGUCACUUCGGGCCCCACCGUGCGCUGCGUCACCGCCUGCGCCCCCAACACCGCCCACACCAUCGACUGCAACAGCGGCCACUGCAGGGUGUCCACCGCCGGCCCACACUGCCAGUGUUGGGACGGCGCCCUCUAUUGGUACGCGGGGCAGCGCUGCACGGGACGGGUCAGCAAAGUGGGCUUCGGGCUGGGACUGCUGGCGGCCCUUCUGCUGCUGCUCUGCGCCGCACUCACAGCGCUGCUGCUCAGGAGGAGGGCGAGAUCCGCAGCGCCCCCCUCCGACGGCGCCCAUUGGUACGAGUUGGACUCCGCCGCGUGGCCCUCCCCCGACGGCUUCGCGUACCGCAACAGCGCCGCAGCUGUCACCGCCGAUGUCACCACCGCUGCCACCACUGCCAACGUCACCACUGAUGUCACCUCUGAUGUCGCCACUGACGUCACCGCCAAUGACACCAUGAGUGUCCCCUCUGACGUCACCGCUGCCAACGUCACCACAGCUGUCACCCCCAUUGUCACCGCG
ensembl:lncRNA